UAAUACAUCGGAACGUGCCCGAUCGUGGGGGAUAACGAAGCGAAAGCUUUGCUAAUACCGCAUACGAUCUACGGAUGAAAGCAGGGGACCGCAAGGCCUUGCGCGAACGGAGCGGCCGAUGGCAGAUUAGGUAGUUGGUGGGAUAAAAGCUUACCAAGCCGACGAUCUGUAGCUGGUCUGAGAGGACGACCAGCCACACUGGGACUGAGACACGGCCCAGACUCCUACGGGAGGCAGCAGUGGGGAAUUUUGGACAAUGGGCGAAAGCCUGAUCCAGCCAUGCCGCGUGCAGGAUGAAGGCCUUCGGGUUGUAAACUGCUUUUGUACGGAACGAAAAGACUCUGGUUAAUACCUGGGGUCCAUGACGGUACCGUAAGAAUAAGCACCGGCUAACUACGUGCCAGCAGCCGCGGUAAUACGUAGGGUGCAAGCGUUAAU
rnacentral:rRNA from 1 species